UACCACAACUACCACAACCACUGCCGCCUCCACUACCACAACUACCACCACCACUACCGCCUCCACUACCACAACUACCACUGCCUCCAACACUGCUACCACCACCGCCUCCAACACUGCAACUACUGCCUCCAACACUGCAACUACUGCCUCCAAUACCACAACCACCACCUCCACCACCACAACACCAAGUGUUGCUAACACUUACAUACAUGCCAACCGGAGGGGACUACACCCUCCGGCUCAGCGUGGCAUCUACCUCCUUAUCUCACUAAUGGUUACUGCUGACAUUCUUCCAGCUGGCACGCACACACCUGUCACCACACACCUGUAACCACCAUUCUCAACGCCGUAUAAUAUUAACUCCAUACUUACAUCUUUACUGCGUUGACAGCUGUCAAUAGUUCACCGGCUGUCAACACCAUUACCCAAGACGAUGCCAGAGCUUCUCCCUCCCCCCCAACACACACACGUGACAAACACCUGUCAACAAACACGUGACAAAACAAGUGUCAUGACGUCAUCACAGACACCACCAAACAGGGCCAUCGUGAAUCCUAGACCGAGCAGUGUUGCCUGCAGGCACUCUGCCCUAGUGCUGGCACUCCUGGCUCUCCUGGCACUCUGGCCCCACCUGUGCCACGCUAACAACCUCAGUGCCGAAGUGGCACUCGUUAUCGACACAGUUAUAAGGUCUGUGAAGGACGGGAGGAGGGACACGUCUAUCCCCUUCCAGGGCCGUCCCUGUACCGUCCUGGUCGACUACAGCUCCGGCUCCAGGAGGUGUCCGGUUGAGGCUAGUAUGGUCUGUAAGGGCUGGACCAAGGUUAGGGGUGCAGCCUCAGGACGCUUCACCAGGAAGGUGGUGACCAACACCGUCCACAACUUCGUCAGGGCCGCCGCGGCCAAGGGCCUCCUGCCUCCGGAGGUGGUCCGUAACGCC